ACAGCAGCAGCCGCGGUAAUACAGAGGGUGCAAGCGUUAAUCGGAAUUACUGGGCGUAAAGCGCGCGUAGGUGGUUUGUUAAGUUGGAUGUGAAAUCCCCGGGCUCAACCUGGGAACUGCAUCCAAAACUGGCAGGCUAGAGUAGGGCAGAGGGUGGUGGAAUUUCCUGUGUAGCGGUGAAAUGCGUAGAUAUAGGAAGGAACACCAGUGGCGAAGGCGACCACCUGGGCUCAUACUGACACUGAGGUGCGAAAGCGUGGGGAGCAAACAGGAUUAGAUACCCGCGUAGUCCCUGUCUCUUAUAC
rnacentral:rRNA from 1 species